UACGUAGGGAGCAGGCGUUGUCCGGAUUUAUUGGGCGUAAAGAGCUCGUAGGCGGUUUCGUAAGUCGGAUGUGAAAAAUCUGGGCUCAACCCAGUGGAGCACCCGAUACUGCGGUGACUGGAGUCCGGUAGGGGAGUGUGGAAUUCCUGGUGUAGCGGUGAAAUGCGCAGAUAUCAGGAGGAACACCAACAGCGAAGGCAGCACUCUGGGCCGGUACUGACGCUGAGGAGCGAAAGCAUGGGUAGCGAACAGG
rnacentral:rRNA from 1 species